CAGUCGCCGCGGGAAUACGUAGGGUGCAAGCGUUAAUCGGAAUUACUGGGCGUAAAGCGUGCGCAGGCGGUUAUAUAAGACAGAUGUGAAAUCCCCGGGCUCAACCUGGGAACUGCAUUUGUGACUGUAUAGCUAGAGUACGGCAGAGGGGGAUGGAAUUCCGCGUGUAGCAGUGAAAUGCGUAGAUAUGCGGAGGAACACCGAUGGCGAAGGCAAUCCCCUGGGCCUGCACUGACGCUCAUGCACGAAAGCGUGGGGAGCAAACAGGAUUAGAGACCCCCGUAGUCCCUGUCUCUUAUAC
rnacentral:rRNA from 1 species